ACACUGCCGAACGCUUGACAAAGGCCACUGCUCAUGAUAUACUCACAGCAGAGUCUGUCCUAUCAGGCGUCUACAACCUUUAUUCUACCGACAUCCAGGAUAAGUUCACUCCGGUGAUAGUAAGAAACCCCGACAACAGCAUUUCAGCACUGCCGAAAUGUUUGCAGUCUCUUGUGGGCAGCACUCAGACCCUCCUGCUUGAUUCAUGUACGUACUAUGAUCAUGGUUCUUUCGAAAGUUUUAACUGCAAGAAUGUUCUUCUAUACGGAGAUGGCGGUGGGUGCGUUGGUUCUUCCACACCUCAUUCGCUCUCUAAUAAAGACAAUGAGGUAGUGCCGAUACCGACACCAGUUAAGCACGUUGAAACGACCAUAAGGACUACUUAUACAAAUUCGGGUUCGGAUUCAGAAGAAAACGUUGACGAUGAUCCACGUGAAAGGCAGUCGACCGGUGAUGGGAUUGGGGAUGAUAGUGCCAUGCGUUAACUAAAGUUCGGUCCAUGUGUUAGCCAAUAAGACAAGGAGGCGUGCGAGAGCUACUGCGUUUUUUCCAUUUACGUUUCAUGUUUUUUAUUUUGGAAGACAUCUUUUCCCUUUUUUUUGGCACAAGAGUUAUGCCGACAGAACAAAUUACGAUCCAUGGUUUAAUAAAGUUUUAGCAUGCCUCUUUAUAUAGGUCUUUGACUUACGUAUAUGUGACGUGUGUGCAUUAUGAAAACCGAGACUAAAAAUGUGGAAAUAACUGCUCUUCUUUUCUUUUAUCAGAAGGUUUAUGCUUGAUACUUAACAA